AUUCUUUUCCAAUCAUUUGGGCUUACUGUACAGCCUAAUAAUUCUACAAUUUUAAAACUCCUCUUUUAACUUUGUGAAGUGUGGGGAGGCAAACCCUGAGGGAUUCUUGCUGCUGGCACCAAGUACGAGGUACACAGCAGGUGUAUCUCACUGAGGAUAGAGUUGGGUAGGGAGUUUGCCUUGGGUGGUACGUUGUCAAACCAAGACAAAGGUGGUGUUAAGUGAAGUCAGGGAGGACAAAAAUCUAUUUUGGACCAAAAGGAAAAAAGCUUGAUCAUUGUGGAUCUUUGGUAUGAAUACAGACCAUGAAAGUAAAACUUCAUAAUCUUUCUGAACAGAGUUUUAAGGAGAUACCUG
rnacentral:ncRNA from 1 species